UAGCUCAGUGGUAAGAGUGCAUGCCUAGCAUGCACAAGGUCCUGGGUUCAAUCCCCAG
rnacentral:tRNA from 1 species